UGCUCAGUCUCGACCUGUGCCCCAUAUGGUGGCUUCCUAGGUCGGGAGGUGUCUCAGGGAGACCGCAACCGACACCAUAUCCAGGAGACAAUCCCCCCAAAAAUGGGCCAGCGCCCCAGACAGGCCUGCCGGAGGCUGGUCGUCGCGAUGCCAGACGGCACUGACUUACAGGCAUAUGUCCACCAGCUGGUCCAGCUCCUCGCAGCUGCACUCAUACUGGUUCUGGCAGCUGGCGUGGCUCUGCUGCAUCAGGAGACCCAGCUGUGCGAUGGUUCCAUCCGGCGCCGACUGGCACACAUCCCGGAACCGCAGCACCCGCGCCGCUUCACCAUACACGUGCCAUGCCCGCUGCCGCAGCUUGAAGUGUGUCACUGCAGCAGAGGCAGGGACACCUGUCACUUACACAUACAUAGCUGGCCGCUGGCACCGUGGUUAAAUUGGGUCACCAAGUGGAAACGGGCAGGUGGAACUGAACCUGCUGUGAACUAAAUACUGAAAUGACAUCAGCGGGACACAUCGGGGAUGAGAGCAAGUGUGAGGCAGAUUUUCCGUGCCUCCGUACCGGACACUGAUUUGAAUCAUCGCUUAGGGGCAGGGACUAAAGCAGCACUCUCUUGAUUGUAAUGUGAUGAUCACUUAGCUCUGCCAAGACCAAGACCUGAACACUUAGAGGUCAUUUUAUUAAAAUGCUUCACGACUUCA